rnacentral:rRNA from 1 species
CCCUAGAGUUGAUUUUGGCUCAGGAUGAACGCUGGCGGCGUGCGUAAUACAUGCAAGUCGAACGCUUUGUGGUUCAACUGAUUUGAAGAGCUUGCUCAGAUAUGACGAUGGACAUUGCAAAGAGUGGCGAACGGGUGAGUAACACGUGGGAAACCUACCUCUUAGCAGGGGAUAACAUUUGGAAACAGAUGCUAAUACCGUAUAACAAUAGCAACCGCAUGGUUGCUACUUAAAAGAUGGUUCUGCUAUCACUAAGAGAUGGUCCCGCGGUGCAUUAGUUAGUUGGUGAGGUAAUGGCUCACCAAGACGAUGAUGCAUAGCCGAGUUGAGAGACUGAUCGGCCACAAUGGGACUGAGACACGGCCCAUACUCCUACGGGAGGCAGCAGUAGGGAAUCUUCCACAAUGGGCGAAAGCCUGAUGGAGCAACGCCGCGUGUGUGAUGAAGGGUUUCGGCUCGUAAAACACUGUUGUAAGAGAAGAAUGACAUUGAGAGUAACUGUUCAAUGUGUGACGGUAUCUUACCAGAAAGGAACGGCUAAAUACGUGCCAGCAGCCGCGGUAAUACGUAUGUUCCAAGCGUUAUCCGGAUUUAUUGGGCGUAAAGCGAGCGCAGACGGUUAUUUAAGUCUGAAGUGAAAGCCCUCAGCUCAACUGAGGAAUUGCUUUGGAAACUGGAUGACUUGAGUGCAGUAGAGGAAAGUGGAACUCCAUGUGUAGCGGUGAAAUGCGUAGAUAUAUGGAAGAACACCAGUGGCGAAGGCGGCUUUCUGGACUGUAACUGACGUUGAGGCUCGAAAGUGUGGGUAGCAAACAGGAUUAGAUACCCUGGUAGUCCACACCGUAAACGAUGAGUGCUAGGUGUUUGAGGGUUUCCGCCCUUAAGUGCCGCAGCUAACGCA